GAUGAACGCUGGCGGCGUGCCUAAUACAUGCAAGUCGAGCGAACAGACGAGGAGCUUGCUCCUCUAACGUUAGCGGCGGACGGGUGAGUAACACGUGGAUAACCUACCUAUAAGACUGGGAUAACUUCGGGAAACCGGAGCUAAUACCGGAUAAUAUAUUGAACCGCAUGGUUCAAUAGUGAAAGACGGUUUUGCUGUCACUUAUAGAUGGAUCCGCGCCGCAUUAGCUAGUUGGUAAGGUAACAGCUUACCAAGGCAACGAUGCGUAGCCGACCUGAGAGGGUGAUCGGCCACACUGGAACUGAGACACGGUCCAGACUCCUACGGGAGGCAGCAGUAGGGAAUCUUCCGCAAUGGGCGAAAGCCUGACGGAGCAACGCCGCGUGAGUGAUGAAGGUCUUCGGAUCGUAAAACUCUGUUAUUAGGGAAGAACAAAUGUGUAAGUAACUAUGCACAUCUUGACGGUACCUAAUCAGAAAGCCACGGCUAACUACGUG
rnacentral:rRNA from 1 species